rnacentral:tRNA from 1 species
GGGGGUUUGUCCGAGUGGUUAAAGGAGACGGACUGUAAAUCCGUUCGCUUAUGCGUACACAGGUUCGAAUCCUGUAGCCCCCAC